rnacentral:rRNA from 1 species
GAUGAACGCUGGCGGCGUGCCUAAUACAUGCAAGUCGAGCGAAUGGAUUAAGAGCUUGCUCUUAUGAAGUUAGCGGCGGACGGGUGAGUAACACGUGGGUAACCUGCCCAUAAGACUGGGAUAACUCCGGGAAACCGGGGCUAAUACCGGAUAACAUUUCGAACCGCAUGGUCGAAAUUGAAAGGCGGCUUCGGCUGUCACUUAUGGAUGGACCCGCGUCGCAUUAGCUAGUUGGUGAGGUAACGGCUCACCAAGGCAACGAUGCGUAGCCGACCUGAGAGGGGGAUCGGCCACACUGGGACUGAGACACGGCCCAGACUCCUACGGGAGGCAGCAGUAGGGAAUCUUCCGCAAUGGACGAAAGUCUGACGGAGCAACGCCGCGUGAGUGAUGAAGGCUUUCGGGUCGUAAAACUCUGUUGUUAGGGAAGAACAAGUGCUAGUUGAAUAAGCUGGCACCUUGACGGUACCUAACCAGAAAGCCACGGCUAACUACGUGCCAGCCGCCGCAGUAA